rnacentral:rRNA from 1 species
AACGAACGCUGGCGGCAUGCCUAACACAUGCAAGUCGAACGAGACCUUCGGGUCUAGUGGCGCACGGGUGCGUAACGCGUGGGAACCUGCCCUUAGGUUCGGAAUACCUCCCCGAAAGGGGUGCUAAUACCGGUUAAUGUCUUCGGACCAAAGAUGUACCGCCUUUGGAUGGGCGCGCGUUGGAUUAGCUAGUUGGUAGGGUAAAAGCCUACCAAGGCGACGAUCCAUAGCUGGUCGGAGAGGAGGCUCAGCCACACUGGGACUGAGACACGGCCCAGACUCCUACGGAAGGGAGCAGUGGGGAAUAUUAGACGAUGGGCGAAAGCCUGAUCCAGCAAUGCCGCGGGAGUGAUGAAGGCCUUAGGGUUGUAAAGCUCUUUUACCCGGGAUGAUAAUGACAGUACCGGGAGAAUAAGCACCGGCUAACUACGUG